CUCGGGGCGCUCACACAACAGCACAGAGCGCGUCCAGAGGCAACGAGAGCCAGAAGACCACGGACCGACUCCUCUUACUCGGCGGCGGGCCCCCUGCGCCGAGAGCCGCCGCCGAAGGAGAGAGGGACUGCGCCUGCGCCGGAAGCGGGGCUGGCCGCCCGGAGCCGCAGGUCCUAACUGUCGCCUCGAGAUACCUUCCAGCGCCUUGGGCUUGCCGGCAGUCAGAAGUUCGCUGAGUUGAGAGCUGGUUCUACCCCGCUGAGACUCGGCGCCCGCACAGUUCACACCUCAUGAGGCGCGUGUUGAGCGCGACGGGAAGGACAGCCGGACAGAACCCAGAUCCCGCCGUUCUGCAGCGGCCUGCGUUCCAGAACGUACUCUGUGUGCCUGCCUUCUCCCACCUUUUCCGUGAGCGAUUCCAUCGAACUUCCACUCCACUUUAAGACCUACCCAUACGAAAAGUGAAAUUACAGACAACCAAGCAUCUAAAAACCCGAGAAAAGAUAAGCAAUCACAUUCUGUCUCUAAGUUUACUGAGAGAGCUGCAAUUUAUGUGAUACACAUUGAAAAGGACCAUUAUUCUAUGCAUUGAGCUCAUCUUACAGAAGAUAAAGAAAAGUAAGUUACAGAAUUCUGAUAGGAAUCAGAAUUCGUAGGUUUGAGCCUGCCAUCUACCAUCUGUUGUGACCCUGGGCAAGUUUAAACUUUCAUCUCAGUUUCCUCAUUUGUAAGUGGGUCAAGUAAGAAUAUCUACCACAUUGAAUUGUUGAGAGUUUAGGUGGCUUAAUAUAUGUAAAAAAUGUACAAGACCAGCUAUUAUUAUUAAUUACUGUUAACAUCCCCCUACAAUCCAACAGAAAACUAAAAAUUCGGUUUUAUUCCA